ACUCUCUUUAUUUGAGUUUUAAGAUGAAGACACGCAGCUUGUUCUCAUUCGACUCAAACCAUGAUCUCUUCAUCUCUCUGGUUGUUGCUGCUGCUGGCAGCUGUUUCUCGUGUCCACUGUGUUGAACUGAUCCAGACUGAUUCUAUGGUCUUAAGUCCUGGUCAGGUUUUGACACUGUCAUGUAAACUCUCUGGAUAUACAGUGUCUGACAGCAGCUACUGGACUCACUGGAUACGGCAGCCUGCAGGAAAAGCUCUGGAAUGGGUUGGAGAGAUAGGUAGUGAUGGUAGCACAUAUUACAGUGAUAAACUGAAAAAUAGAUUUCAAAUUGCAAGAGACAUUUCCAGCAACACAGUGACUCUGCGAGGACAGAAUAUGCAGACUGAGGACACAUCUGUGUAUUACUGCGCCAGAGAGAGAACACACAGUGAUACAAAAAACCAGCAGUUCUGGUCAAAAACAUCUUGAAUGAAAAGAACAAUAAAAAGUCCCCAUACAUACGGUAGGAAUAUGAAAAAACGACUCUUACUUAUAUGAGUGUUUUAAAGCCCAACAAAUGGCCGAGAAAUGACCAAUGUUGGUGUAACUUAACAGUACAAUAAUUUUUUACUUGAAUACAAAAUGAUUCAUUUUUAGAUAACUUCUACUAUCACAGUUAUAAAGUGAAGGUUAAUGUCAAAGUUAUUAAUCUUUGACAAGAAUACUGAUGAUAUUACAAUAGAAGAGCACUCUGCCAGAUUAAAAUUUUAGCAGAU